CUAUGGCCACAGUAAACGUAAUGGCGGACGAUAGAAAUUUAAAGUACAUCAGAGAUUAGAGCCUACACUGUUUUGUUUUUUAUAAAGGUGAAAAUGAAUGGAAAACUGGAAAUCAUCAAACAAUUAUAUAUCAAAUAGCUCACACAGAGCAGUGUCAGUAUGGUACAUUCCAGAUCUAUAAAGCUGCCUAAACACACACAAAAUGGGAGGUAAAAAAAAAUCCAGUAAAAAAUCCAGCAAAAAGUCCAGUAAGAAGGCAGGUAAAAAGUCAGGUAAGAAAUCUGGAGGCUCACGCAAGUCCAAGUCAGCAAAAAGUUCCCUUGGGUCAGCUAAGGCCAAGGCAGCGCCGGUGGACAUGAUGAGUCCAGCUGCCAUGGAAAACUUGUAUUUCAUAGCUCAUAAUGCACCAGACGCACUGGAGAAGUGGGGCUUUAGCGCGGAGUCAGGUGGGACAAAGAAAAAGAAAAAAGGAAGAAAAGGAAAGAAGAAAAAGAAAUAAUUUUAAUUGUCAGAUAGUUUUCUAGGUUUGUUAGUUUUUUUGUAAGUUUGUUACGAUUACAUUUUGUUCACUUAAAAGCAGCUGAUAAGCACACCAAUAAAGUUCCCCAUCUCCCCUAAAUUCUAAAAAUAUCUGUGCCUUUAUAGAAGAAGUUUUUUUUUCUUGCCUCAAUUUUCAAUUAUUAAAAAACAUAAUAAUAAAGAAUUUCAUAAAUGUGUAUUGAUCCACAUAGUAUUUUGUUCAACAGAAAGCUCAUGCACUAAAGUAAUAAAUAAGUAACAUUACAAAAGUACAUUGUCAUACUACAGGAAAUUUAUCAGAUCUGCUGUCUUGUUCAAUAAUUUUAACGUUAGAUCAUUACCUCAAACUGCUGGUCAUAUGACAUAAUAUCCUCUAGUUUUUUCAGUCUUUUGAUUUUCAUUGAAAUCUUCCAAUUUUAUUAGUCCUCUUUUUAUUAAAAGAAAAGAUUUUCAAACUUACUGACUCAUAAAAUAUUUAAUUGUUUGUAAAUAUAUUAAAUAGUUUAUAGAAUAUAUAUCUAUAUUUUAUGUUUACAUUUUCAUUAGCUCAAAUAUAUAAUAAUUAGGCCUAUAAAACAUGUGCCACAUUUAACUUAUAUACUUUCCAUUACCUUUUUUACACAAGGGAGAGUAGAAUGCCAGGUUGGUCAAAUAUAAAAUAAUUGUCUUCUCGUGCCAAUUUUUAUAAGUUGGGGUUAAAUGUUAAUUAUAAAAAAAUGUUUUUGUCCAAUGUGUUAAAAAACUAUUUCCUGCUGAAUUGUGAUAAUGUAAAAAUAUUUGCUUGGUUUAGACAAAAUGUAUCAUCUCUUAUCUUCAUAACAAAAAUCUGAUUGUUAGGAUGUUUAGAUUUUAAGCAAUUUAAAUUAGAAAUUUUAUUUUAAAAUCUGUAUGAGAUGUGUCCAAAUCGAAAAAGAACAAUGUUUUUCAAUUUAUAAAGUACUUUGCAAAAAUUAAUAAUUGCAUACAUUAUUUUAAUUCAAGGUUUAAAUCUUAAAUCUGACAGACGGCUUUUACUGUGAUAUUUGUUAAUCUGCCUGUAACGAAAAUGAAUGAUGUCAGGAGAUUCUUGUGAUAUAUUGCUAUAUUUUAUUAUCAACUCAAUAACUAAACUCUCAUUUCUUACAAAUAUAUCAAGUUCUUGUAGUGCAAGGUAUUCUAAGGAUUGUCCAUAAAUAACAUCAUCCCCCCCUCCCACACCCCCCUCACCCCACCUCUGCCCAUAAGGUCUGACCUCAUGCUAUGUAGGUGUGGUACAUGUAUGUGUGGUGUGGGGUAGUGGCCAGAUCUCAUCAAUUUCCUGAACCUUUGUCCACUAAGGACAUGAGAAUCAAGUUUUAAAUUCUAUGUUGUUGUUUAAGUUGACAAACCAUUGAGUCUCUGAAGAUGUUAAGUCUAGCAGCAUUACAAUGUGUGUUCUAGCUGUGUAUUGUUUAAGUAAUAGCAUUGAGUGCAUUAGUCGCCUUCACUGUACAGUGUUUUAUAUAGGACGUUAAAUUUUGAACCUUUUCCAUCAGGCUAAAACUGUUCAAUUGUUUAUGUUGUACAACCAGAGUGUUGAUUACCCUGCUUGUUUUGCUCCACCAGUUGUGCCAAUGUGUAAACCAAUGUUUGAAGACACAUACAGAAAUCUUGUCCCAUGUUGUGACCAUUGUGAAAAAUGUACACCAAGCUCCCUCAGUUAAACGUGAUAGCACAAAGAUAUCCCAUGUUUUUAAUUGGUAUAUGUGACGCCGUCCAACUUUCCAAAUGCCAAAACAUUUUUUUUAUAACCUGUGUAUUUUAUUUAUACAAUACAACAUAGUUGAUGUCAAUUUC